rnacentral:rRNA from 1 species
AGGGAUCCUAGCGUUGUUCGGAAUUAUUGGGCGUAAAGCGGGUGUAGGCGGAUUUGUAAGUCAGGUGUGAAAUCCCAGGGCUCAACCCUGGAAGUGCACUUGAUACUGCUAAUCUUGAGUGUGGUAGAGGUUACUGGAAUUCCUGGUGUAGUGGUAAAAUACGUAGAUAUCAGGAGGAAUACCGGAGGCGAAGGCGAGUAACUGGGCCAACACUGACGCUGAGACCCGAAAGCGUGGGGAUCAAACAGGAUUAGAUACCCUGGUAGUCCACGCCGUAAACGAUGGAUACUUGUUGUUAGAGGUAUUGACCCCUCUAGUGACGCAGCUAACGCGUUAAGUAUCCCGCCUGGGGAGUACGGUCGCAAGAUUAAAACUCAAAGAAAUUGACGGGGGCCCGCACAAGCGGUGGAGUAUGUGGCUUAAUUCGAUGCAACGCGAAGAACCUUACCAGGGCUUGACAUGGAUUUCUAAGCACGUGAAAGCGUGUGACCCUUCGGGGGACUUCCACAGGUGCUGCAUGGCCGUCGUCAGCUCGUGUCGUGAGAUGUUGGGUUAAGUCCCGCAACGAGCGCAACCCUUGUCAUUAGUUGCCAGCGGGUAAUGCCGGGAACUCUGUUCAGACUGCCCAGAUCAACUGGGAGGAAGGUGGGGACGACGUCAAGUCAGUAUGGCCCUUACGCCUUGGGCUGCACACGUACUACAAUGCCCAGUACAAUGAGAACCGAUGCCGCGAGGUGGAGGAAAUCUGUAAAACUGGGCCCAGUUCGGAUUGUAGGCUGCAACUCGCCUCCAUGAAGUUGGAAUCGCUAGUAAUGGCGCAUCAGCUACGGCGCCGUGAAUACGUUCCCGGGCCUUGUACACACCGCCCGUCACAUCAUGGAAGCCGGUUUCACCCGAAGUGCCUGUAUCAACCGCAAGGAGACAGGGCCCUAAGGUGUGGCUGGUAACUGGGAUGAAGUCGUAACAAGGUAGCCGUAGGGGAACCUGCGGCUG